rnacentral:lncRNA from 1 species
CAGAAUAACAGUCCGCCAAAGACGUCCACGCCCCGGUCCCCAGAACCUGGGACCGUGUUGGUUACACGGCUCAGAGGCCUUAGGCCGCAGCUCGAGUCGAGUUUCAGGUGUGGGACAUCACGGUUCGCUGUUUGUGUGCGCUGUGAAGCGAUCACCACAGUAAGUCUGAAAGCUGACAUCCCUCACGGACACGGUUAUAACACGUUCUGCUUUUUCCCUGUGGUGAGGACUUCAGGCUCUGCCCUCAGCUGCUUUUCCACAUGCGCUGCGGUGCUGUUCCCUGCAGCCACCGCGCUGGGCGUGACGCCCGGGACUCAGCGACCCAAGCAGCUGACCUCAUGGAGAGAUCACCCCGGACUCUCCAGGUGGGGCCAGUGUCAUCAGAAAGAGCCUGAAAAGCGGAAGAGGACGCAUAUCUGAUGUUACCCGUCGGUCACACCUCAGGAGGAAAAGCGGACGAGAACGGAGAGAGCCAGCGAGACGAAGACGGCCGGGUGACAAGGGAGGCCAGGGGCCCCGGGCCGCGUGCUGCGCUCUCAACAACCCCAGUGAGCAGGAGUCGGUGCCCCGGAGCCUUGGGACGGGAGCGCAGCCUGUGGCACCUCGGGCUAAGCUUUCGGGGACCCUGAGCAGAGAGGUGCCGAGCCCCCCGCACCUCCCACCCUUGGAAACUGUGCUGAUAGCUGGCUGCCAUGUUAGUACCACAUUGUGCUUGUUACACAGCAGCACGUUACAGCGGCAGAUGGAAAGCCCACAGCCAGUUCCCCAGGGCCAGUGGAGUCUGGUCUGGGUCACAGUGGGCUUCCUGAAAAAGCAGCCUUUGAGGUGAGACCCGUAGGAUGAACCUCGCCGACUUGGCAAAGGGCAGAGGCAGAGGGAACAGAAGGUGCAAGGGCCCUGAGGCAGGAGGAAAUCAGCUCAAGUGAGAAAAGGAAGGAAGCCCAGUGCGACUGGGAGGCAGACCCCGGGCACGUCGCUGCGCUCUCUGAGCCUCAGUUUCCUCCCCCGCGAGGUGGGAUUAUAGGAGCUUUCCCUCACUAUGAGGGUGAGACGGCCCUGCAAGCUGUGUAGCAAAGCAGCUGGAGACGUGGGCCCCACAGCCAGCCCAGACCGGGGCUCGAGCUCCAGGUCUUCUGCUUACUGCCUGGGUGACCGUGGGAGGCUGCAUCCCCUCUCUGAGCCUCAGUUUCCCUCUCUGCCAGGCUGCUGUCAGUCUUAGAUAAGAGCGUGUCAGUGGUGCUCAACAAAUGCUGGCUAUCAUUGUCAUCGUUUUCGUUAGGAGACGGGGACCCAAAGUCGGACAGGAACGUGCUCAGGGUCCCCCAGAGACUGGUGGGCGCACUGGGUAGAAACGAGUCUCCCGAUCCGGCCGUGGACCCCCCAGCUUCUCCGUC